UUUGCUUUUGUAUGGGCUGCACAUGUGUGGCUCAAUUGGCUGCCCGUGUGUGGCCUUUUUGUCCGGUUUUUGCUCCUUUUUGGUCCGUUUUCGCUCCUUUCUUCAACUCGUACAAUUUUUAUCUGUUUAUUUAAAAUACGAGAAAUAAGUAACGAUUCAUAAUAUAAAACUUCGAAAUCGAUAUAAAAAUAAUUAAAAUAUAAUAGUAAAUUAACUAAAUAAAUAGCAUAUUUU
rnacentral:lncRNA from 1 species